AUGAUGCGAUACUUUCGGCUGAGGUGUACUAUCAGCUUACCAACAUAAAUUCAAUAACACACCAUAAAAAACUCUCUUACUUCACACUAAAACCACACAUCAUAUCCUUCUCUCAUAUCUCCAUAGCUUAUUCUCUCUCUCGGAAUAAAGGAAAAAUGGGUUUUGCUUGAUUAAGAAAACCAAACGAUACCGCGAUGAUUCCAUCCUCUCUCGUAUUAACAUUUCAUUAUCAUACCACUAGCGCCACCAUUCAUAAAACAUAUAUCUUCAGCAACAUAAAUUCCUCUCUCAAUCUCAAAUAAGAAAGAAGAUAAAAAGCCUCACUUGCUCGACGGAAAGCCUACGAAACUAGGAUCAUUGGAAUUCCAAGGUUUUGUUCUCACCAUUAUUUUUAACAUUUCAUUUACAUGUGUACGACUGUGUUUUCAGGUAGGUGUUAGAGUGGAGAAGUUGUUCCCUUUUUGUUGUUUGUGAUAUUCGUUUUGGGCUUGCUAUACUUGCAUUUUUAUGAGUCAUAAGAGAUGAUGAACAGUGCCCGGUGUAAAAAAGUAUAACAUGUUUUACAGAUAGUAUGAAACAUACUUUUGUUUUUCUCUAGCAUUUUUCGUUGUCUUUGUUGUGUUACUAUUUAUUUUUUAGUUUGU
rnacentral:lncRNA from 1 species